rnacentral:rRNA from 1 species
AUUGAACGCUGGCGGCAGGCCUAACACAUGCAAGUCGAGCGGAUGAAGAGAGCUUGCUCUUUGAUUCAGCGGCGGACGGGUGAGUAAUGCCUAGGAAUCUGCCUGGUAGUGGGGGACAACGUUUCGAAAGGAACGCUAAUACCGCAUACGUCCUACGGGAGAAAGCAGGGGACCUUCGGGCCUUGCGCUAUCAGAUGAGCCUAGGUCGGAUUAGCUAGUUGGUGGGGUAAUGGCCCACCAAGGCGACGAUCCGUAACUGGUCUGAGAGGAUGAUCAGUCACACUGGAACUGAGACACGGUCCAGACUCCUACGGGAGGCAGCAGUGGGGAAUAUUGGACAAUGGGCGAAAGCCUGAUCCAGCCAUGCCGCGUGUGUGAAGAAGGUCUUCGGAUUGUAAAGCACUUUAAGUUGGGAGGAAGGGCAUUAACCUAAUACGUUAGUGUUUUGACGUUACCAACAGAAUAAGCACCGGCUAACUUCGUGCCAGCAGCCGCGGUAACAC